rnacentral:lncRNA from 1 species
CCUUAAUGGACUGUGAAAUAACUUUAACUGCAUUAACCUCUCCGGAUCACAUGGGUGGCACCAACAUCCACUCCUGAAAUUCUCAUUCGCUUAUAGAGACAAUACUAUUAGAUUAUUAUAUUUUCCAUUUGCAAUAGCAAUAGGCUUGAAGCAAUUAUGCAGCUAAGCAUUUCCAUUAAGCCAAUAGGACCUUAAAGAAGAUUAACUAGAGCACCUUUUGCAUCAGAUGGAAGGGGGUGGGGGAAGAAAACUCUGACUCUCACCAGAGUUCAGGUAUCUUCAAACUUGAAGGUAGCUGGUCUUACUAGACACAGAUACCUAAUGGAAAAAGUCUCACUGAAGGGUGCCAAGAAGAACUAUGUAUGACCUUCACCCUGGAAAUAAUAGACCAAAAAUGAUUUAUAGGAAAAUGAUAUCCAAGACAAGAAAGGAGAUAACAAGAAAGUCCCUAUCUGCCCUUAAUGAAUCCAAGUCACCUGGCCCAGAUGAAUGACUUCCUUGAAUCCUGAAAAAAACUGACAGAUGGGAUUGCUGAGCCAGUAUCAAUGAUAUAUGAAAGACCAGUGAAAAUGGGAGAGGUGACACAAGACUGGAAAGAGGACAAAUGUCUGAAUUUCCAAAAACGGAGAAAAUUAAAUCUUCAAAAUAUAGUCUGAAUUGUUUGACUUAAUAAUUCCUCAAAAACAAUGUAGAAUGGAUCAUUAAUGAUAUGUUUGUCAAACAUCAAGAAAGGGAAGCAGUGAUUACCAAGAGCCAAUAUGUCUUCAUCAAAGACCAGGAAUGCCAAUUAAUA